AGCGAACGCUGGCGGCAGGCCUAACACAUGCAAGUCGAACGAACCCUUCGGGGUUAGUGGCGGACGGGUGAGUAACACGUGGGAACGUGCCUUUAGGUUCGGAAUAACUCAGGGAAACUUGUGCUAAUACCGAAUGUGCCCUUCGGGGGAAAGAUUUAUCGCCUUUAGAGCGGCCCGCGUCUGAUUAGCUAGUUGGUGAGGUCAUGGUGCACCAAGGCUACGAUCAGUAGCUGGUCUGAGAGGAUGACCAGCCACAUUGGGACUGAGACACGGCCCAAACUCCUACGGGAGGCAGCAGGGGGGAAUCUUGCGCAAUGGGCGAAAGCCUGACGCAGCCAUGCCGCGUGGAUGAUGAAGGUCUUAGGAUUGUAAAAUCCUUUCACCGGUGAAGAUAAUGACUGUAGCCGGAGAAGAAGCCCCGGCUAACUUCGUGCCAGCCGCCGCAGUAAUAC
rnacentral:rRNA from 1 species